GAUCAUGGCUCAGGACGAACGCUGGCGGCGUGCUUAACACAUGCAAGUCGAACGGAAAGGCCUCUUGCUUGCAAGGGGUACUCGAGUGGCGAACGGGUGAGUAACACGUGGGUGAUCUGCCUUGCACUUCGGGAUAAGCCUGGGAAACUGGGUCUAAUACCGGAUAGGACCAUGCUUUAGUGUGUGUGGUGGAAAGUUUUUCGGUGCGAGAUGAGCCCGCGGCCUAUCAGUCUUGUUGGGUAGGGUAAUCGG
rnacentral:rRNA from 1 species